rnacentral:tRNA from 1 species
GGGGGCUACGCUAAGCUCAGCUGGGAGAGCGCCUGCUUUGCACGCAGGAGGUCAGCGGUUCGAUCCCGCUAGUCUCCACCA